rnacentral:rRNA from 1 species
GUACACGCCGUAAACGAUGUCUACUAGCCGUUGGGUUCCUUGAGGACUUAGUGGCGCAGCUAACGCAAUAAGUAGACCGCCUGGGGAGUACGGUCGCAAGAUUAAAACUCAAAGGAAUUGACGGGGACCCGCACAAGCGGUGGAGUAUGUGGUUUAAUUCGAAGCAACGCGCAGAACCUUACCAGCUCUUGACAUGGGACGUAUAGGAAUCAGAGAUGAUUUCUUUCACUUCGGGUGCGUCCGCACAGGUGCUGCAUGGCUGUCGU